rnacentral:rRNA from 1 species
UACGGAGGGGGCUAGCGUUGUUCGGAAUUACUGGGCGUAAAGCGCGCGUAGGCGGCUUUGUAAGUUAGAGGUGAAAGCCCGGAGCUCAACUCCGGAAUUGCCUUUAAGACUGCAUCGCUAGAAUCAUGGAGAGGUGAGUGGAAUUCCGAGUGUAGAGGUGAAAUUCGUAGAUAUUCGGAAGAACACCAGUGGCGAAGGCGACUCACUGGACAUGUAUUGACGCUGAGGUGCGAAAGCGUGGGGGAGCAAACAGG